rnacentral:rRNA from 1 species
AUGAGCACCAUGCCCAACAGCUCGCAAUUCCAUUCCCACCAGCACCACCUGCUGCUGGUGCUGCCAGUAAUCCUAAUCCUAGUAGUAGUCAGCCCCUUGCUUGCCGCCGCGGCUGAAGCUGAAGCGCAAGGGCAGCAGCCGAUGGCACGUCCGGGUUGCCCCGACAAGUGCGGCAACAUGAGCAUCCCCUUCCCGUUCCGCGAGGGCUUCCAGGUCCUUUGCAACCACUCCUCCGAUUCGGAUCCCCCUCGCGCCUUCCUUGCUGGCAGCACAAGAUUCAAGGGCUCCCAGAUCUACAGUGAUUCUUCGUGGUCGUCGUCGUUGGAGCUGGUGAGCAUAUCAGUCGCCACGGGCGAGGCACGAGUGUACGCCCCGAUCGCGUACAGCUGCAACACAAAUCGCAACGAGUCCUUGUUCAGGGAUCAGCACAUCGAUUUCUCCUACACGCCGUUCGCCGUGUCGGCGACGCGUAAUGUUCUCAUCGCCGUCGGCUUGGAAGCCGAGGCUCAACUGAUAUUCUCUCUGUUUACCUACCAAACCCCUUUCACUUGCCGUGCACAAGAUUUCGACCGCACGCCGCUCGCGAGGAACGGGUCGUGCAAGGGGUUGAGCUGCUGCGAGCAGACCCUCCCGGCCGACCAGGGCUCCGGCAGGUUUUCCAUGUUGUGGGUCAACCCCGUGCACGACCACUUUAUCUGGGAAACCACGCCCUGCUCCUACGGCAUGCUGGUGGACAAGUCAUGGUACAACUUCUCUACGCCCGACAUGUACGGCGACAAGACGCUACUCAAAAGGUUCCCCCGGGGCGUCCCCUUGGCGCUUGAUUUCGCCGCCGGGGACACUUGGUGCCCGGUGGAAGGACAGCCGCUGCCUCCGCACUACGCCUGCGUCAGCGGCAACAGCUCCUGCGCCAACGUGACAAUAGAAAUAGAUAGUCCAGGCUAUGUCUGCAAGUGCUGGGACAAUUACACUGGCAACCCUUACAUCGCUCACGGAUGCCAAGACAUUGAUGAAUGCAAGUUCCCGGAAGUGUAUCCCUGCUCAAAUGGCGGGAUUUGCAAAAACAGGCCCGGAGGCUAUGACUGUCCAUGCAAAUUCGGAAUGAAAGACGAUGGCAAAGGGGGGGCCUGCACAGAUGUAUUCCCCCCAGCAGCAAAGCAGGCGACUGUGGGUGUAAUAGGUGGUAUUCUUCUCAUGGUGAUUCUGUGGUUUACUGUUAUUCUUCGCAAAGAGAAAAAGAAGACAAAAGAAUUCUACAAAAAGAACGGCGGCCCGGUAUUAGAGAAAGCAAAAGGCAUUAAAAUUUUCAAAAAGGGGGAGCUCAAGCCAAUUUUAAAGAAUAGCAACAUAAUUGGAAAAGGUGGAUUUGGUGAAGUUUACAAGGGCCUUCUUGACAAUAAAGAAGUUGCAAUAAAGAAGCCGAUCAAUGGUAGCGUGCGAGAGAAUGAACAAUUUGCAAAUGAAAUCAUCAUCCAAUCUCAAGUCAUCCACAAGAACAUUGUUAGGCUCAUUGGUUGUUGCCUUGAAGUUGAAGCCCCCAUGCUGGUCUACGAGUUUAUCUCCCAAGGUAGCCUCCAUGACAUUCUUCACAACAAGAAUAACAAGGCGGCUCUCAACUUGGAUGCACGUUUAAGUAUCGCUGCACAGUCAGCGGAUGGUCUAGCUUAUAUGCACUCACAAGCAAACACUAGAAUUCUACACGGUGAUGUCAAACCAGCAAAUAUACUCUUGGAUGAUAACUUUAUAGCCAAGAUUUCAGACUUCGGCAUAUCUAGGCUGCUUGCGAGAGACGAGGAACACACUGCAUCAAUCAUCGGCGACAUAAACUAUAUGGAUCCGGUAUAUCUACAAGAAGGCCUACUAACCGAAAAAAAUGAUGUCUACAGUUUCGGAGUUGUGAUCCUGGAGCUUAUCAGUGGCAGGAGGGCCAUACACUCUGAGAAUAAUAGCUUGGUAAAGAGUUUCCUUGAAGUCCAUAAGGAACAGAAGAAAGCGACCGAACUUUUUGACAAGGAAAUUGCAAUAGCAGAAGAUUUAGAGCUUCUUGAUAGUCUAGCAGGUAUGGCCAUGGAAUGCCUUAGCCUUGAUGUAGAUCAAAGACCAACAAUGAUGGAGGUAGCUAGGCAACUACACAUACUGGGUCGAUUUCGUAAGGUGCAAGACGUUUGA